rnacentral:rRNA from 1 species
AAUGAACGCUGGCGGCAGGCCUAACGCAUGCAAGUCGAACGGAUCAUUCGGGAUUAGUGGCGGACGGGUGAGUAACGCGUGGGAACGCGCCCUUUGGUUAUGAAUAGCUUCGGGAAACUGGUAGUACUACCGGAUAAGCCCUUCGGGGGAAAGCUUUAUCGCCAAAGGCUCGGCCCGCGUUGGAUUAGGUAAUUGGUGGGGUAAUUGCCUACCAAGGCGGCGAUCCAUAGCUGGUUUGAGGGGAUGAUCAGCCACUAUGGGCCUGAGACACGGCCCAGACUCCUACGGGAGGCAGCAGUGGGGAAUCUUCGACAAUGGGGGAAACCCUGAUCUAGCCAUGCCGCGUUAUCGAUGAAGGCCUUAGGGUUGUAUAGAUCUUUCAGUUGGGAAGAUAAUGACGGUACCAACAGAAGAAGCCCCGGCUAACCCCGUGCCAGCCGCCGCAGUAAAAC